AUGUUUGCUAACGAUACUGAUUCAGAAUAUAAUUUAACUGAAGAUAGUUCUUCCCGUGGUGAGAAAGGAUAUUCAAGCUCCAGUGCCUCUGGUGAUCCUGGUUGCAGCACCGAUAACAGUGAUGAUGAGGACACUCACAUGGACGGAAUUCGUAGAUCGAAAAGGAAAAGAGCAGUAGAAAUUUGUGGAGGAUCAAAAUAUGGAAAAGAAAAUAGAGGAAAUUAA